UCGGUCAAUCAUGUGCAUCUUUAGUGGCGGACGGGUGAGUAACGCGUGGGUAACCUGCCUUACACAGGGGGAUAACACUUAGAAAUAGGUGCUAAUACCGCAUGAGCGCACAGGACCGCAUGGUCGAGUGUGAAAAACUGAGGUGGUGUAAGAUGGACCCGCGUCUGAUUAGCUGGUUGGUGAGGUAACGGCCCACCAAGGCGACGAUCAGUAGCCGGCCUGAGAGGGUGGACGGCCACAUUGGGACUGAGACACGGCCCAAACUCCUACGGGAGGCAGCAGUGGGGGAUAUUGGACAAUGGGGGGAACCCUGAUCCAGCGACGCCGCGUGAGUGAAGAAGUAUCUCGGUAUGUAAAGCUCUAUCAGCAGGGAAGAAGAAAUGACGGUACCUGGGUAAGAAGCCCCGGCUAACUACGUGCCAGCAGCCGCGGUAAUACGUAGGGGGCAAGCGUUAUCCGGAAUUACUGGGUGUAAAGGGAGCGUAGACGGUGAUGUAAGUCUGGAGUGAAAGGCGGGGGCCCAACCCCCGGACUGCUCUGGAAACUAUGUGACUGGAGUGCAGGAGAGGUGAGCGGAAUUCCUAGUGUAGCGGUGAAAUGCGUAGAUAUUAGGAGGAACACCAGUGGCGAAGGCGGCUCACUGGACUGUAACUGACGUUGAGGCUCGAAAGCGUGGGGAGCAAACAGGAUUAGAUACCCUGGUAGUCCACGCCGUAAACGAUGAUCACUAGGUGUGGGUGGGUAUGGACCCAUCGGUGCCGCAGCAAACGCAAUAAGUGAUCC
rnacentral:rRNA from 1 species